CUCAGAGCAUAUUUUAAAGUUAUUUGUUAUAUGCCUUUUUCAUGUUUAUUACAGUGUUCAUAUUCAAGUAACCUGUAAUCCCUGCCAGCAUUACAAAUAGAUCAAGAAUUGUUCUUCAUUAGCUGGAUUUCCCAAACACAGGAUUCAAAUGUAAAUAUUGCCUCUUCAGCUGUUGCAUAUGUGAAUCUAGCUAAAGACAGUGAAAGAACAGCGAGGAAAAUGAAACCCAGUUCAUCUAUAGGAUGUUUCCUAUUCCCAAAUGAAUGGUGUCUUAAGUGUGAAAAGAGUGGAAUAAUUUAAGAGAUGAACUAUUUGGGGUGCCUAAUCUGAAAGACCCAUUUGGGAUUUGAUGUUCAGAGGCAGAUAAACAGUUCUGAAAAUCAGGACCUCCAAAGGAAAAUUACUACAAACAGCUUGAACAUCUUGUGGUUUCUGAAGAGAUGAACUGAAAUUUUGAAACAGAAGUUAAAUCCUCAUGUGACAGCAACAGCUAUUAACUAUUGUAUAUAUGUGCCUCUUUUGGUUUCUCUAUGCUUCAUAAAGACAUGAAAAGUUUCUCUAUAAACUCUUAUUUUUACUGUUAAAAAUAUUUCCAGUUCUCUUAUAAAUCUGCUUAAGUGUGAGGUUUGUUUUGUUUUCUUUUCAAAUUGCAAAGUAUGAAU